AUGGACGCGUCGUCUUCUUCGACCACCCAGCUACGUGAGGUCAUGCUGUUUGACCCCGCCACCGGAGGCCGCCGUCAUGUGGUCGUUCCACCAGUGUUUGACGAGAAGGAUAUUGGCGUCUUCAACGCCGCCGUGAUUUGCGUUGCCGGCGACGAAGGCCACGUGCACGGCGAUUGCCACACCAGCCCAUUUCAGGUGGUCUUGAUAGGUAUCCACGAUGACAAUAAACGAGCAUUUGCCUCUGUCUACUCAUCGGAGACCGGAACAUGGGGUGAGCUCAUCUCAACAGCAGCAAUUCGGUAUAUGUGUGAGCUGAGCCGUCCCAGCACCCUUGUAGGGGAUUCUGUUUAUUGGGUGUUUGAUGGCAAUGAGGAUGGCAUACUCAAGUUUGAUUUAGAUAGGCAUAGCCUAGUUAAUAUCGAGAUGCCGGAUUUGUUCAGGUAUUAUAGCUGCUGGAGCAGCUUUAAGAUCAUGUCGACAGAUGAUGGCAGUUUUGGCCUUGCUGUCUUGGAACACCAAAAAUUCGAAAUGUGGGAGAGGAAGGUCGAUUGUGAUGGUGUUGCCGGAUGGGUGCUGCAGAAGACCUUUCAAUUGAACACGAUCCUUGGUCUAGGGCCUAUAGGAGGAACGGAUAAUCUCGUGUUGGGGUAUGAUGAAGAUGAUCGUGCGAUUUAUGUAAGGACAGAUAUUGGUGUCUGCAUCAUUCAGCUUGAGACAAUGCAGUUCAGAAAUCUUGGCAAAGAUAAUUUCACGACCACCGCCUAUUAUCCAUACAAAAGCUUCUAUACUGCAGUGAGUGACCUGUCAGUAUGCGAAAGAAGAGUUGGUGGCAUCUCCAGAUCUCUGGCGAAGGAUGGCAGCAUCAUGGUUCCUGCUUCAAGGGGAGCAGGAGCGGUAGGAGACAAUGCCGCAGCUGCCUCGACCCGAACCAUACCAGGAGAUAUGCUAGAUAAGUCAAGCAGCAGAGUUCAAGGAAUCGAUACAGGUCUUGUGCCAAGCCGGGUACUGACACAAACUCGAAUCGACGUGAUAUUCAAGAAAGAGACGGAGACAAGAUCAAAGCUUAGCAAAGCUUGGGCAAAAUGGUUCCGCAGCAACGGUGUUCCUGAAAGUAAAGCAGACUGCCCACACUUCUGCAGUGCCAUGAAGUUAACACAGCAGCUAGGUACCCGCUUGCCUGUUCCUUCAGGCGAUGAACUAGGUGGCGUAAAUCUGGACGUGGAGGAAGAACUUCCGUAA
rnacentral:rRNA from 1 species